rfam:Oryza sativa Japonica Group DNA, chromosome 7, cultivar: Nipponbare, complete sequence.
AAUAAGCGUCCUAAAGUUUUGCACUAUUUGUGUUCAACAUUUAACCGUUCGUCUUAUUUAAAAUUUUUUUAUGAUCAGUAUUUUUAUUGCUAUUAUUUUUAAAUGUUUCAUAAAUUUUUAAAAUAAGAUGGACGGUCAAACAUUGGACAUGAAUAUCGACAGC